rnacentral:siRNA from 1 species
AGGCAGGGAUCGAGGAUUCGCAUC